AAACUUCACAGCUCGGCUGACCAUGAAGAAUAGAAUAAUUGUUAUAGAGAAGAACAAGACAUGGAAUAUUAUCUUUGUACACCAAAACUGAUCAACCACGAUCGGUUGUGUCAUGUGUUUUAAGUAUUCGAUAAUCAAAGUAGACAUGGAUGCCAUAAUCAACAUGUUGUGAAACCAUGCCAUGGUGACCACAUGUUGAAGUCAAUAUGCUGCUUUAGAAGAUCCCCUAGGUUUAAUUAGUUUGUUUUCAAGUAGUCUUAAGCAUUGCAAAGGAUAAAACUCUAUAGUACCUUGCCCAUAGAAUACUUUUAAGGAGCCAACAAUUUUAGCACCACAUAUUUUGGUCUUUUUUAUUUUUAUUUUUUGGACCUGGUUUACCAUAAGCUAAUUCUUAUGUAAUCGGAAAAACUGACCUCUUCUCUUUCCAAGUACUGAUCUUCGGACAGGAAAUCCACAGCUUCUGAUCCCAGGAAACAAUUGGUGAAUCUCCGCAGCUUAUAAAACCGGUCCUUUACAACAAUAGACUGUUUCAUUUUCUUAACAAUAAUAGCUAGCUCAUCCAUGGACCCACUACUAGACAAAUCAUCUUCACCGGAAAGAGGUGGUAGAGGAGCUUCAGCUCAUCCAUGGACCCAUUACUAGACAAAUCAUCUUCACCGGAAAGAGGUGGUAGAGGAGCUUCAAAAGAUGGUACUUCAUCAACAACAUAUUCAAUCUUCUCCAUGAGCUUUCCAGACUCAUCCAUGCUCUUUAAUUCACUCCAUCCACCUAUUAGAACUUCAUUAAAAAAUACUCGAGGAACAGAA
rnacentral:lncRNA from 1 species